CCGCACCGGGGCUGCAGGUGGAGCUGCCUGCCAGUCCCGCCCCGUGCGCCCGCACGCCUCAGCCCUUGGGUGGUUGAUGGGACUGGGCGCCAUGGAGCAGGGGGUGGCGCUCAUCGGGGAGGCUCGGGCCGCACAGGAGCCCAUGGAGGGGGUGGGAGGCUCAGGCAUGGCGGGCUGCAGGUCCCGAGCCCUGCCCUGCGGGAAGGCAGCUAAGGCCCGGUGAGAAAUCGAGCGCAGCGCCGGUGGUCUGGCACUGCUGGGGGACCCAGUACACCCUCUGCAGCCGCUGGCCCGGGUGCUAAGCCCCUCAUUGCCCGGGGCCGGCAGGGCCGGCCGCCUGCUCAGAGUGCGGGGCCUGCCAAGCCCACGCCCACCCGGAACUCCAGCUGGCGCGCAAGCUCCGCGCGCAGCCCUGGUUCCCGCUCGCGCCUCUCCCUCCACACCUCCCUGCAAGCUGAGGGAGUUGGCUCCGGCCUUGGCCAGCCCAGAAAGGGGCUCCCACAGUGCAGCGGUGGGCCGAAGGGCUCCUCAAGUGACGCCAAAGUGGGAGACCAAGCAGAGGAGGUGCCAAGAGCAAGCGAGGGGCUGUGAGGACUGCCAGCACGCUGUCACCUCUCACCGGGGCCGAGGAACAGGAGCACCGCAGACCUUCUGGACAGUCAGACUGGCUUUGGAAAUGAUUAAAAGUUGAUCUGGGCCUGGGCAGAAGGGCAUGGCUGUUAGCCAAAGCUGAACUGCAUUCAUCUUCAAAGACUUAAGAGAAGCAGCCCCUUCUACCCUCAGCCACCAGGACCAUUCUGUCACAUUCUGUGGGAGGCUCCUGCUAAUGGAAUGAGGCCACUCACAGAGCUUGGUCAAUUAGCUCUUGCUGAAAACUGCUAACGUGGAACUUUGGCAGCCAUUUGGUUGGUGUCAAGAGAAACUGACCCUCCACGAGUUUAGUGUCUGCCAGGUCGGCAUCAUCAGCUCAAGUCAGUGAAUCAGAAUGAGACUCCAGUAUCAAUCAUCUGCCAGGCAGCCAGCUCUGAAUCGUGUU
rnacentral:lncRNA from 1 species